rnacentral:rRNA from 1 species
AUGUGUAUAUCUGUGCUAGAAAUAAUCAUAUUUGUUUUGUCUCAAACAAAAAUGUUCUUCUGUGUUUCGCACAUUGCCCAAAUUAAUGAUCUCAUUGCUGUUCUCUCUGUUCAUCAGGAUGCCCUGAAGAACCGCGCCAGAGCUUUCGCAGAGGGCAUCUUGAUCAUGGUGUGCCCGGUUCUGCUCGCCAUAGCAUUCGGCCAGGUUAACCUGAAGACCGAGGGAAACAGAUUUGUUCGGGGCAGCAUUUCCCCACUCGCAGCGGUCACACUGGAGGCCGGUAUUUUCCCGUUCCUCUGUCUCUGUGGAUCAAAGAACUUGGUCGACUUGUACCCAAAACUUUCAAGGUGCUUAUUUGGUGCCUCGAAGCUUCUCAUCCACCUCUGCGCUCUGCUCCAAAUGGCGCUUGCCUGCGGCAUUCUACUUCUCAUCAGCAUGAAGAAUCUUCUGUACCUCUUAUUCCUGAUCCCCUUCGUGGCUCUCACCUUGUGGCGCUGCUACUGGUCGGUGAAAAACGGCCCGAUGAUCGAUGAGACCAGGUACCAAGGCUGCGAGGAUGCACUCGAAAGAUCUUUGGACUUCUCGGCUGCGGUCACUGCUAUCCUGUUCCUGGGUUUGGAAGGCCUGGCUGUUAGACUGUAUUUACAUGUGUAUAUUGUAACAUUGUAUAUCACCUCAUUAUAUAUAUAUGUGAUAGGCCACCCCUAG